rnacentral:rRNA from 1 species
GACGAACGCUGGCGGCGUGCUUAACACAUGCAAGUCGAACGGAAAGGCCCUGCUUUUGUGGGGUGCUCGAGUGGCGAACGGGUGAGUAACACGUGAGUAACCUGCCCUUGACUUUGGGAUAACUUCAGGAAACUGGGGCUAAUACCGGAUAGGAGCUCCUGCUGCAUGGUGGGGGUUGGAAAGUUUCGGCGGUUGGGGAUGGACUCGCGGCUUAUCAGCUUGUUGGUGGGGUAGUGGCUUACCAAGGCUUUGACGGGUAGCCGGCCUGAGAGGGUGACCGGCCACAUUGGGACUGAGAUACGGCCCAGACUCCUACGGGGGGCAGGAGGGGGGAAUAUUGCACAAGGGGCGGAAGCCUGAUGCAGCAACGCCGGGUGCGGGAUGGCGGCCUUCGGGUUGUAAACCGCUUUCGCCUGUGACGAAGCGUGGGUGACGGUAAUGGGUAAAGAAGCACCGGCUAACUACGU